rnacentral:lncRNA from 1 species
ACUUUCCAAAACCACAUCCCUAGCAAAAAUCACCCAUAGAAAAACCAAUAGCCUAUCGGAUUAUUGAACAUAUUGGUCAAUUGGUAUCAUAUUGGUCUAUUGGUAUCAUAUGGGUCUAUAGGUGGCAUGCUGGUCUAUUGGACCUCUAUUUGUUCAUUGGUGUAUUUGUCUAUUGGCACUCUAUUUGCCUAUUGU